rnacentral:rRNA from 1 species
UGUUCAGGGGUAAACCUGUGGUUCCCGAAAGUUCGAACGGGGAGAUUCAAUUGCCUCGCCGGUUAUGACCAUUUAACAGUGAUAUUUAUUUAUAUAUAUAUGUGAGACAUUAUAUACGGUAUUAUAGUUUAUUCUGUAUUAUUGUUUUAUAGUGCUCCGCUGUUUUAUGAUAUAUUGUUUAUAGCCGGAGGCGUGCACUUCUCCCCUUGUAGGACGUCGUGACCCAUUGGAUUAUGUUGUCUAAGGCUCAUAAUGGAGACCGUGGCAUUUAAGUUUCUACUUUUAUGACCCGGACUUAUGAUGUCCCGACAUCUAUCCGAUGGUAUGAUUAUGAUGAUGGGUCGCUAUGAAAAUUGGCGAGCGUUCUGAUCCAUAACAAAUGCUUAUAUGGUAUAUUAGUGGAAAUCGGAUUAUAUGCCGAUUCUACACAUAUGGUAUUGUUAGUUGUGGUAUUCUCGAACCGUUCCUUAUCAUCAGUCAACGGCGUUUAUGUUUUGGGUAAUUACAGGACCCGUCUUGAAACACGGACCAAGGAGUCUAGCAUGUGCGCGAGUCAUUGGGACUCUGUGAAACCUAAAGGCGUAAUGAAAGUGAAGUAUUUGUGAAUUUUCGUAAUUCACAUGUUUAAGGGAAGAUGGGUAACGUUAUAUAUGUUACCUCGCAUUCCCGGGGCGUCGCGUACUUAUUGCAAGUUGCGGCGCACCAAGAGCGUACACGCUGGGACCCGAAAGAUGGUGAACUAUGCCUGGUCAGGAUGAAGUCAGGGGAAACCCUGAUGGAGGUCCGUAGCGAUUCUGACGUGCAAAUCGAUCGUAUGAACUGGGUAUAGGGGCGAAAGACUAAUCGAACCAUC